GUCGCGAUGGUUCCAGCCGGGGAAGGGUGCCCUCGCUAAGGAGAUUGCGGCGGACCCGGAAGUGCUUGGCCACAGUCGCAGCCCCGGCGCCCCGAAGCGGGAAAAAGGCUGGGUGCCGCCGUCCCCCAGCUGCGCAACCCUAGGAACUCUCGGGAACUUGGCUGUGUUGUCCUGCCUCAGAGACAAAUUCAUCUAUUGUAGGCCUAGCCCCUGCCUUUGAAAACAAGGAAAGCAAAAAAAAAGAGCAUGAGGAAUUUGAAGACUGAGAGAUGAGUUGUGUAGCACCAACAUUUUCUUUCUGCCUGACCUUCAUACCUGAUGAAUUAAAAGCAUAGGAUGUUUGGAAGAGUGAGAUAGGGGACACAUUGAAAACAGAGAGGCAAUCUGAAGGCUACCUUGACGCAUCUGCAAAGCUCCCAGAUUCUGACUUUCACAAGACUUGCUUUCUGUUUCUGGGCCUCGCCUAAACAGACUGCCAGUCAUCCGAACCGUGGCAGGAUGGAGAUGUUUGUGUAAGGUAGACUCAAGUUUGCAAGACUCAAGAAGGAAACCACCAAACUAAUUUUACUUUCACUUAAACCAGAUUGAAACCAAGACUUGAAGAAUUAAAAACUUUGACAUUAACCAUUGAUUCACUCCAAUGAAAUAAUUGUGUUAUAGCCAGAAUCAUGGUGAAAUUGGAACAAGGCUUUUGAUGGGAUUUUUAAUUGAGGGACUUAUAUUAAAUUGGAUAUUUUCUUUAAUGAACAGCAU
rnacentral:lncRNA from 1 species